AGUUAUUAAUACUUAAUUGUCUAAAGAACAAAAAAUAUAGUUUGCAUAAUUUAUACUUUAUAGCUAAACAAGUACACCUGAUCAAAUCAAUCAAUAAAUAAAUAAAAUAAAAUGGAAGUACACAUAGAAAGUACAUCAUAGCAUAGCUGUUAGGUCACAAAUAGUAUAUAUUCAUUUUUUAAAAUAAUCUACCAGGUCAAAAUGAACAGGAAAUAAUUGAUGGAAUUAGGCUGGUUUUUAAGUUGUGUUUAUAUGACAAAAACCUAUCAGGGUUAGAUGGAACUGGCUUUGAACAACAACAACAAACCUUAAGCAAUGCAGAACAAAAAGAACAAUUUCUAUAACAUAAGAAACAGAUUACAUGAGCAGAAAUAUUCACCUAGAAAUAUCAGGAAAAUUUGCCAAAGAAUCAAAAAUCAAUCAUCACGGAGUGAGAAGAACUGAAAAACCUUGGUGUCAUAUUU